UCGACUAUAUUCCUCUUAACUCUAUCAAUGCCAAGCUUUCUUACAUAGAUCAACUCAGAUUCCUCGACAAAACAGCAAUCAGGACUCCCCGAGACCAUGUGAAUGCAGAUGGAUCGCUGGUGGAAGAAGCGACAUGCUUGUUGGGAGUGUUUCCUAUAUGGGCAGCUGCUAUCAUAGACUAUUUUGCUACAGUUCAACAGCACACCUAUGUAGUCUUCCGGGCAGUUCAAAGCCACAGACGCCUAUGAAACAGCAACUUCAAUAUACCAGCCGCAACUUAUAUAUAUUGUGCUCUUGAUGCUAAGUUUAAGCAUUUUCAUAUCUAUCUAUGACCGAAUUUUUGUCCCUUUUCUGCGAAGGAUUACAGGUAAAGAAGGUGGCAUCACGAUCCUUCAAAGAAUCGGCACUGGCAUCUUUCUCACCAUUGCAGCAAUGUUAGUCUCUGGCUUAAUUAGUCGAAGAGAAGCAAGAGACUAUAGCUCUUACCAAGCCGACUCUUGGAAAUGCACAAAGAGGUGCCAUCUGAUCAAUUUCGGCUUUAUGGUUAAUCCUUCCGCUACCACUAGCAGGAACAGCAGAGGCAUUUGGUUCCAUUGGACAGACUGAAUUCUACUACCAGCAGUUUCCUGAGAAGCAUUGGAGAGUCUCUCUUUCAUUGUGGCAUAGCAGGCCUCAAGUUAUCUGAGUAGUGUUUUUUUUUUAUUGCUAUAUAUCCCACUGAAGUGAAAAAAUUUUGAUCAUUUCUUUCAGAA